rnacentral:lncRNA from 1 species
GCCUGUGUUCGAUUCCUGCCGUCGGACAAUUUUGAUACGUUUACUUUAUUAUUUAUAUCACGGUACUUUUGUUAAAAAUGCCCGCUUGCGACGCCA